CCGCUCCUCUCGCCCCCGUUGACUUGGGAUCGCAAGUCAAAGUUUGGGAUUUCAAACUUUGAACGGGUUUUCCGGUCACCUCCGGCGUCCGUUAGACGAGAGGUUUUCACCACUACACUCAGCUCGUCGAGGAGAACAACCUACACUAAACCAUUUUUCCCGGUUCGCAACUUUUUCCGGUGACAUUUUUGUAGCUCCGCCCCUUUCCGGCGACUUUCCGGUGACCUCGUGUACCGUUUUGACAAACGGUUGGCAUGAGUGUGAUCUACUCGUCGAGGUGGUCGUUUUGAUAUAUACUACUCCUAUUUUCGGCGACAUUUCCGGUACACCAAUUUUUACCGCCACCGAUUGUUAAUGUGCACCGCUUAGGUGAGGUUUCGGAAUCCCAAAUUUUAAAUAUAGUCAUAUUAUAUGUCGUUGGACUCGGUUUUGAAUGUAGAAUGCGAUGAUGAUAAUUAUUUAAUCAUUUGAUGGUAUAGGUGAGAGUAAUAUGUAAGUUUGGACUAAACAAUUGGAGCUCGGGACUUGAGAGCUUAAGAUCGUCUUUUGGAAAAAAAGUUUAACGACUCGGGAGAGGAACUCAGUUUGAUGCUAGUGGAUGAGGAUGGUACUGUUGGGAAAGGAAUGUCGUUAUUAGUUUAGUCAUAUUUUACUCUUUCACCUUCUAAUGAGACUGAUUUUGUAUUUAAGAACCAAUGGAUGGUCUGGAUGACUUAAAUUAGCUAUGUACUAGUUAGAAAUGAGAAAUGAUGGAUGCUAGGUAUUAUUUUGGUAUUUUAUUGACUUAUUAAAUCUAUCUAUUUGGUGAUUACAUAA